rnacentral:rRNA from 1 species
CACACCGCCCGUCACACCAUGGGAGUUGAUUGCACCAGAAGUAGGUAGCCUAACCGCAAGGAGGGCGCUUACCACGGUGUGGUCAAUGACUGGGGUGAAGUCGUAAACAAGGUACCC